rnacentral:lncRNA from 1 species
UCCAGGUUGGAAGAAAACUACUUUCGGCUAACUUUUACUCACACUUUAAGAAUUUUGGGCCAGUCCAUCCUCUUUGCCACACAUCACGGGCACCUUAUUUUUGGAAAGACAGUGAAGUGCUAUCAUUGAUAUGGACAUAUGAUUAAGAUAUUUUUUAAGAGUUUUAUUUUUUCUGCUCUCCUAAGCCAUAUAAACAGAUAUAUG